GACGAACGCUGGCGGCGUGCCUAAUACAUGCAAGUCGAACGCUUCUUUCCUCCCGAGUGCUUGCACUCAAUUGGAAAGAGGAGUGGCGGACGGGUGAGUAACACGUGGGUAACCUACCCAUCAGAGGGGGAUAACGCUUGGAAACAGGUGCUAAUACCGCAUAACAGUUUAUGCCGCAUGGCAUAAGAGUGAAAGGCGCUUUCGGGUGUCGCUGAUGGAUGGACCCGCGGUGCAUUAGCUAGUUGGUGAGGUAACGGCUCACCAAGGCCACGAUGCAUAGCCGACCUGAGAGGGUGAUCGGCCACACUGGGACUGAGACACGGCCCAGACUCCUACGGGAGGCAGCAGUAGGGAAUCUUCGGCAAUGGACGAAAGUCUGACCGAGCAACGCCGCGUGAGUGAAGAAGGUUUUCGGAUCGUAAAACUCUGUUGUUAGAGAAGAACAAGGACGUUAGUAACUGAACGUCCCCUGACGGUAUCUAACCAGAAAGCCACGGCUAACUACGUG
rnacentral:rRNA from 1 species